rnacentral:other from 1 species
AGCAACCUGCGUUGUUCGGGAAUUAUUAAUUCAACCUACAAAGUAUAAACGGAGUAUCGUGUUUAAUCAUGGAUGACAGGCCCGCUUGACGGGAAGUCAAAAGUGAUUAGUAGAUUAUCCACCUGCAAUUAGCAGGUAUGAAUUAAAAAUUUGCGGCAAGUGCGGGCUUUUU